GAUGAACGCUGGCGGCGUGCCUAAUACAUGCAAGUCGAGCGAACAGACGAGGAGCUUGCUCCUCUGACGUUAGCGGCGGACGGGUGAGUAACACGUGGAUAACCUACCUAUAAGACUGGGAUAACUUCGGGAAACCGGAGCUAAUACCGGAUAAUAUAUUGAACCGCAUGGUUCAAUAGUGAAAGACGGUUUUGCUGUCACUUAUAGAUGGAUCCGCGCCGCAUUAGCUAGUUGGUAAGGUAACGGCCUACCAAGGCGACGAUGCGUAGCCGACCUGUGUGGGUGAUCGCCCACCUUGGAAGUGAGACACGGUCCAGGCUCCUACGGGAGGCAGCAGUCGCGAAUCUUCCGCAAUGGUGGAGAGCAUGACACAGCAACGCGGCGUGAGUGAUGACGGUCUUCGGAUCGUAAAACUCUGUUAUGAGGGGAGAACAAAUGUGUAAGUAACUAUGCACGUCUUGACGGUACCUGAUCAGAAAGCCACGGCUAACUACGUG
rnacentral:rRNA from 1 species